rnacentral:rRNA from 1 species
CGGCGGAGCAUGUGGAUUAAUUCGAUGCAACGCGAAGAACCUUACCUGGGUUUGACAUACACCGGAAAACCGUAGAGAUACGGUCCCCCUUGUGGUCGGUGUACAGGUGGUGCAUGGCUGUCGUCAGCUCGUGUCGUGAGAUGUUGGGUUAAGUCCCGCAACGAGCGCAACCCUUGUCUUAUGUUGCCAGCACGUGAUGGUGGGGACUCGUAAGAGACUGCCGGGGUCAACUCGGAGGAAGGUGGGGACGACGUCAAGUCAUCAUGCCCCUUAUGUCCAGGGCUUCACACAUGCUACAAUGGCCAGUACAGAGGGCUGCGAGACCGUGAGGUGGAGCGAAUCCCUUAAAGCUGGUCUCAGUUCGGAUCGGGGUCUGCAACUCGACCCCGUGAAGUCGGAGUCGCUAGUAAUCGCAGAUCCAGCAACGCUGCGGUGAAUACGUUCCGGCCUU